rnacentral:ncRNA from 1 species
UCAGUCAACCAAGAACCAUUUAUGACCAAACCCCUAAAGGGAGAUCUCAUAGGAGACACAAGUACCUACGGACUAUACAACGGUCAACCAAUUAACAUUGGUCAGAAGAAGGAUAUGGGUCAUCUACGAAUAAGAAAUACGAAUAAGUAGAAUGGUUCUUUU